CCGUACUCAGUGAGCAGUCCACUGAAGGGAAAAAAGCCGCCAGCCCUCCGCCGCGUGAUGAGACGCUAAACGGUCAUUCCGCCUCCCACCUCCGGCCCAGUCAUGCCAUAUCCGUCUCCCAAAUCCCCGAAACCCUAAAAAAUCUCAAUAUCCGGCCAUGGAUUCUCACAACCACCACGAAGAAGACGGAACAGAGAACGGCAACUACAACUCCUCCCACAACCAUAUAUCCAAGAAGCCUAAGCUUUCUCCCUUCAUUUCCGAUUCCGAGAUUCGCCGGGAGUUCGCGCACCACCGCCACGGCGUGGCCCGAAUCAACAACGGCAGCUUCGGAAGCUGCCCCGCCUCCGUCAUGGCCGCUCAGAAGAAGUGGCAGCUCCGGUUCCUCGAGCAACCGGAUGAAUUCUGGUUCAACCAGCUCCGCAAGGGCUUGAUCGAAUCUAGAACCGUCAUCAAGAACCUCAUCAAUGCCGACGAUGUUGACGAGGUCUCUAUCGUCGACAACGCCACCACGGCCGCAGCCAUCGUGCUCCAGCAAAUCCACUGGGGAUUCGCUGAAGGUAGGUUUAAUAAAGGUGACUCCGUUGUAGUGCUUCACUGUGCGUUUCAAUCCGUGAAGAAAUCGAUUCAAGCUUACGUGACUCGAGCCGGCGGGUCGGUAGUCGAGGUUCAGUUGCCGUUUCCUGUGAAAUCGGACGAGGAGAUUGUAGCUGAGUUUAAGAAAGGUUUAGAGAGAGGGAAGUGUAAUGGUAGGAGUGUUAGGUUAGCUAUUAUUGAUCAUAUCACCUCAAUGCCGUGCGUUUUGAUCCCUGUUCGCGAGUUGGUAAGGGUUUCCAGGGAGGAGGGCGUAGAUCAGGUGUUUGUUGAUGCUGCUCAUGCUAUUGGUAGCGUUCCUGUUGACGUGAAAGAGAUUGGAGCGGAUUUUUAUGUCAGUAAUUUGUAUAAGUGGUUUUUCUCUCCUCCUUCAGUUGCAUUUUUGUACUGUAGAAAGUCACCGUUAUCAUCCGAGAUGCAUCACCCUGUUGUUUCCCACGAGUAUGGAAAUGGAUUGGCUGCAGAGAGUUCAUGGAUUGGCAUGCGGGACUACAGUCCGCAGCUCGUUGUUCCUUCGGUAUUAGAUUUUGUUAAUAGAUUUGAAGGUGGGGUUGAUGGAAUCAUGCAAAGGAAUCACGAUGCUGUUGUGAAGAUGGGAGAAAUGCUAUCCAAGUCUUGGGGAACAAAUAUUGGAUCACCUCCGGAUAUGUGUGCAAGUAUGGUCAUGGUUGGUUUGCCUUCUAAAUUGUGCAUCUCAAAUCAAGAAGAUGCUUUGAGGCUAAGAUCACAUUUGCGGGUCGGUCAUGGUAUUGAAGUUCCAAUUCACUACCAAUCUCCCAAAGAAGGUGAACUAGUAUACCGGGAUAAAGAUGGUGGUUGCAUAACAGGGUAUGCCCGGAUUUCUCAUCAAGUUUACAAUACAUUAGAAGAUUAUAGCAGAUUUGAGAAAGCUAUUAUUCAAUUACUUGAUGAUCGGCGCACUUGCAAAAUGCUUUUUAUCGAGUGAAAAGGUGAAUUCAUGAGGACUUUCAAGGGGUAACACAUACUGACUUCUUGGAUACAAUUUCACUGUAUUUGGUAAUAUUUGAUGCUCUGAGCACCUUCAGUGAAAUAAUAUUACUCAUAUUUGCUGAUGCACGCGGGUCAGAGGAGUCCUUCGAGUAGUUGUGGAGCGGAAACUGUUGUAUGUACUCUCCAGAACUGGUAAGGUUUCAUAGAAACCUUCACCAAUUGUAAGCUGACUUUUCUAGUUUGUGGGGCUCUGUUAGUAAGCAUCCCCUUUCGUUUCUCUUGAAAAUAAGCUCACUAGCAGUAUUCUUUUUAGUAAUCCUGUCAUUGUCACUUGAAUUCAACAGCAUUGAUUGGUUCAUGGGCAUUGCUGAAUAGGAUCCAUCUUGAGGAUUUUUUGCAUUCUUUUUCCCCCCCUGUCUAGGUGCUUGAGUUUUAUUCAAUGAAUAUAAUCCAUUUUCGUACAUAAAAA